CGGGGGAUGCAAGCGUUAUUCGGAAUUAUUGGGCGUAAAGCGUCUGUAGGUGGUGAGGAAAGUGUUUUGUUAAAGAUCAGGGCUCAACCCUGGGAAAGCAAGGCAAACUAUCUCACUUGAGUUCGGUAGGGGCAGAGAGAAUUCCCAGUGUAGCGGUGAAAUGCGUAGAUAUUGGGAGGAAGACCGGUGGCGAAGGCGUUCUGCUGGGCCGUAACUGACACUGAGAGACGAAAGCUAAGGGAGCAAAUAGGAUUAGAUACCCUAGUAGUCUUAGCUGUAAACGAUGCACACUAUGCUUUGCAAUUUGCAGAGCAAAAGCUAACGCGUUAAGUGUGCCGCCUGGGGAGUACAUUCGCAAGGAUGAAACUCAAAGGAAUUGACGGGGACCCGCACAAGCGGUGGAGCAUGUGGUUUAAUUCGAUGCAACGCGAAGAACCUUACCAAGAAUUGACGAUGCUGCGAACGUUUACGAAAGUAAAAAGUCUAUUAACUUAGUUAAUAGCGCAGACACAGGUGGUGCAUGGUUGUCGUCAGCUCGUGCCGUGAGGUGUUGGGGUUAAGUCCCGCAACGAGCGCAACCCUUGUCUUUAGUUAUAAUCUAGAGAGACUGCCGGUGAUAAACCGGAGGAAGGUGAGGAUGACGUCAAUCAGCAYGCCCCUUACAUCUUGGGCGACUCACGUGCUACAAUGGUCGAGACAAAGAGAUGCUACCCUGC
rnacentral:rRNA from 1 species